UCCCUCCCGACUGUUUACCAAAAACACAGCACUUUGCCAACUCGUAAGAGGAAGUAUAAGGUGUGACGCCUGCCCGGUGCUCGAAGGUUAAGAGGAUGCGUCAGUCGCAAGAUGAAGCGUUGAAUUGAAGCCCGAGUAAACGGCGGCCGUAACUAUAACGGUCCUAAGGUAGCGAAAUUCCUUGUCGGUUAAAUACCGACCUGCAUGAAUGGCGUAACGAGAUGGGAGCUGUCUCAACCAGAGAUUCAGUGAAAUUGUAGUGGAGGUGAAAAUUCCUCCUACCCGCGGCAAGACGAAAAGACCCCGUGGACCUUUACUACAACUUAGCACUGCUAAUGGGAAUAUCAUGCGCAGGAUAGGUGGGAGGCUUUGAAGUAAGGGCUUUGGCUCUUAUGGAGUCAUCCUUGAGAUACCA
rnacentral:rRNA from 1 species